CUCUCCCACACACUGGUAUAAAAACUGAACAAAGGUUGCAUAUGACCAUUGCUUCUUUGGAAUCAUGGAAAGGCCAGACCAAGAAAUAUUGAUGGAGAUGUUGAUGCAUAUUCAGUAUAUGGCACUUAAAGACCAAGCUGCUAGAUUGUUACUUAGGCGAAAGAGGAGGAGAAUCGUAAUGCAGCGUAGAUCUUGCUGGAUGACAAGAAGAUUCUGAGCUGUAUUUAUACUGAAACUGGAUCUGAUUCAGCUGCUGCAAAGCGUGGCGACAGCGGCGCAGAAACAUGGUAGAACCGUAGUAAGCUCGUGGUAGAAUCGUUGUAAGAUCGUGGUACAAUCGUGGCAGAAGCGUAGGAAACCCGUGUUGCAGUUCUAUCAUUUUUUUUAGAUCGUGGUAAGAGCGUAGUUAGAACAUGAUGGACGUAGUGGGAGCGUAGUAAGAACUUGAUGAACGUGGUGAAAUCGUAACAAGGCCCUAGUUUAAUCGUAAUGGAGUCGUGAUAAGAGCGUAGUGAGGACGCAGUAACAUCGUGAAGACAGACAAAAUUACAAAUUCAUGCCGUUCGCAUUACGAUCUCACCACGAUCUAAAACAAGAGGCCCAUGGGCCACAUCGCUCACCUGAGAAAAGAGUGUUUAUGUUUAUGUUUUAAACCCAACAUGGCAGGUGUGACCAGAAAAUCAAUAGGGGGUCAUACACGUUGUAAAUAUGUGAAUUAAGUGUGUAAUUAUAACAAUUGAAUGCCCUUCAGUCAAAGAUUUUUGGUGCCAAGAUUAAUGAUAUUCACCAAGUUGUUCAAAAGGAAUCGACGGCGAGUUUUUUUCUUCUUAAUUUAUAAAUGAAGACAAAAAUGAAAUUAUAUCACUAGAUUUAUUUGGAUGCAAAAUUUACAAGAGCAGAAAAAAUUGAAAAUUUAUCUACAUUUACAAACAUGUAGGUCAAAAUUGUUUUUGUAAAGUGAUCUGAUGGAACAGGUGAGCCUUUGAGUUUACAAGUGUAUAUAAAUAGUGAAUAUUUUUUCCUAUAUAUUCCCAUGUAAAAUUUCUUAAACACUCCUCCUUAUAUAUUCCCAUGUAAAAAAAAAAAUCAAAAAAAAUGUGGCCCCAACCUUCGCCAGGGGACCAUGAAUUCCACAAAUUUUAAUCUGCACUACCUGAUAAUGCUUUUACAUUAAAAUGACUAAUCAUUACUAUGAUCUUGAGAUGAAGAUUUUUGAACAUAUAUUUUUUUAAAUAUUUCAAUGUCAAACUUUGAACCCCUAUUGUGGUCCCUCCCUACCCCCUGGGGGCAUGACUUGAACAAACUUGAAUUUACACUACCUGAAGAUGCUUCCAUAUAAAUAUGAUUAAUCACAGCUUUGCUAUUCUUGAGAAGAAGAUUUUUAAAGAUUUUCCCUAUAUAUUUGUGUGUAAAACUUUGAUCCCCCCUUGGGGCUCCAUCUUAUCCCCGGGGCCAUGAUUUGAACAAACUUGAAUCUGCACUAUGUCAGAAAGUUUUCAUGUAAAAAUCAGCUUUUCUGGCUCAGUGGUUCUUGAGAAGAAGAUUUUUAAAGAUUUUUCCUAUAUAUUUGUAUGUAAAACUUUGAUCCCCUAUUGUGGCCCCAUCCAACCCCCGGGGCCCAUGAUUUGAACAAACUUGAAUCUUCAUUAUGUCAGGAAGCUUUCAUGUAAAUCUCAGCUUUUCUGGCUCAGUGGUUCUUGAGAAGAUUUUUAAAGAUUUUUCCUAUAUAUUUGUAUGUAAAACUUUGAUCCCCUAUUGUGGCCCCAUCCAACCCCCGAGGGCCAUGAUUUGAACAAACUUGAAUCUGCAUUAUGUCAGGAAGCUUUCAUGUAAAUCUCAGCUUUUCUGGCUUAGUGGUUCUUGAGAAGAAGGUUUUUAAAGUUUUUCCCUAUAUAUUUGUGUGUAAAACUUUGAUCCCCCCUUGGGGCCCCAUCCUAUCCCCGGGGGCCAUGAUUUGAACAAACUUGAAUCUGCACUAUGUCAGAAAGUUUUCAUGUAAAAAUCAUCUUUUCUGACUCAGUGGUUCUUGAGAAGAAGAUUUUUAAAGAUUUUUCCUAUAUAUUUGUAUGUAAAACUUUGAUCCCCUAUUGUGGCCCCAUCCAACCCCCGGGGCCCAUGAUUUGAACAAACUUGAAUCUGCAUUAUGUCAGGAAGCUUUCAUGUAAAUCUCAGCUUUUCUGGCUUAGUGGUUCUUGAGAAGAAGAUUUUUAAAGUUUUUUCCUAUAUAUUUGUAUGUAAAACUUUGAUCCCCUAUUGUGGCCCCAUCCUACCACUGGGGGCCAUGAUUUGAACAAACUUGAAUCUGCAAUAUGUCAGGAAGUUUUCAGGUAAAUUUCAGCUCUUCUGGUCCAGUGGUUCUUGAGAAGAAGAUUUUUAAAUGACCCCACCCUAUUUUUGCAUUUUUGUGAUUAUCUCCCCUUUGAAAGGGACAUGGCCCUUCAUUUGAACAAAAUUGAAAGCCCUUCACCCAAGGAUGCUUUUGGCCAAGUUAGGUUGAAAUUGGCCCAGUGGUUCUGGAGAAGAAGUCGAAAAUGUGAAAAGUUUACGGACAGACAGACAGACAGACAGACGGACGCCGGACAAAAUGUGAUCAGAAUAGCUCACUUGAACCUUCGGUUCAGGUGAGCUAAAAAUGAUAGAACGUAGUGAGGUCGUGAUGUAGUGUGACAGGGCCAUUAGUGAAUAUGAACCAAUUUUGUAUAAUUAAAUAAAUGUGUAUAUGUUUAAUUGUUCAGAAUGCAAAGUUGCAGUACGUAUUCACGUAGACAUAUAACGGACAACAUAUAUCUGUUAUAUGUCUAUGCCCGGGGCAGGGUUGGCAAAAAAGUGGUCGAUAUGAGACCGGUGGUCAAUACUGGUUAAAACUGGUUAAUACUGGUCGAUUGAAAAUUGUUUGGUAUAUAUAAUAUACUUUAAUAUAAGUCAUAAUGUUACAUAAAUAAUGUACAAAUGACUCUGUUGAAUUGGGGAGAUUAAAUAUUGUAAAAGUUUCUGUUCAAAUUCCUUAAUUUAACAAGAACUACCUUAGUAUAAGUAUUGUUUCAUCAAUCUUCAUUUUAACUGUUGAAUACUGUUGAAUAAACAUUUGAGGGUGGGUUAGUGAUGUUUUCAUAACAAUAACAGGUACACUGGUCAUAUCUGGUCCCAGCCUAUGCUUAUUAACACCGGUCUACUCUGCUUCCUGGGCUCAGGUAAUGUCCAGCUACCUUUAUUCUUAAUCUGUCCAGGUACAUGUAUUAAGAGGUCUGUCUCCAAUCAAGCUAUGUUAUAGAACUGUGACCCUCUGGUAGUUACUGAAGAUAUUUCGGUCAGUUUUAGCAAACCAAAUAUAUCAAAAUUAUGAAAUUACAUUUGAUUAUCUAAUGAAAAAUAUUAAUCAACAAUUGAUCCAUAUAAUGAAAAGACUUAAUUUAUCUUUAUCUUUGCAAGAAAUGUACAAAAAUAGGAAAAUGGACAGUUUAAAUCACAAUUGACCUUUAUUGACCACUUGGGGAGUAUUGACCAGGAUGGUUAAAACCACUGGUUUUAACCGCCCAACCCUGCUAUGCCUCUGGUAUUCAGAGAUAGAUCAUACUAACUAAUUACUUUUUCUUUAAUUAAGUGAAUUUAUACAUUACUUGUUUCUCCUAACUACUAAUUUAUGGCAUAAAUUGAAGAUUCAGUCCCUGGUGUUGGAGAUCUUUUAUCUUGAAAACAAUAGAUGCUAGUGCCACACAACCAAAGAAUGUAGUAAAUAUACUGCUACCUUUGCAUGUAUUUAUUAGCAAAUUAAGGUACUAGUAAAUAUAAAUGUAAGGAACAAAUGUCUAGGGUGUUUUUUAUCUAUUAAAAAGAUUGUAUCAAACUCUAAAUCUAAUAAGUAAAAUUUUGUAAUAUUCCAGCUUCAGGAAGUUUAUCCUAUCAUAAUAGAGGUGAUUAGCUACUUUGAACCUACUUUCAUGGAUCUACCAUAUUAUCUUAUUUUUACUAUGGCAUUUGACUUUAUGUUACUUUUCAAAGAAGGUGUAAUUUAUACAUAUAACGUGCAUCACAUGUAAUUUUAAUGAUGCAGGCAAAUGAUUUUGAUGCAAUAUAAAAGGCAAGCGUGAACUGUAUAUCUACCCAGAUUAGAUUCAAUAAGAAUUGAAGGUCAAAACCAUGGUGGUAACACAAAGCAUCUGCAUACAAGAUUUUUUAGGCUUGUUAAAUGGAAAAAUUAUAUGAAAAUAAUAGUCUCCAGUAAUAUCUACAUUUUAACUCAUAUGAGAAAUCUUAUAGCAGUUUCAAUAUUCAGACAGAUCAUGAGAUGGAAACCAAUGUGAUUGAGACGAAAAGGGAGUACAACUCGAAAUAUCAAGGAAAAACAAGAAAGGCCAUUGUGAAUCAGCAGAUGAUGUCCUAUACAACCAUCCUUCCAUGACACAUGCAAUGGGAAGUUUAUUUCAGGAAACAAAGCCUGUCUGAAGCUCCAAAAUGACAUUUCCAGAAAGCUGAAGAAUGGAUAAAAAUGUAUCUACCAUCUUACAACCCAGAUUUCAUUCCACUGAAAAGAAAAGGGACAGGAAAUUUUGCAUGUCAAUGUCUUGGAAGGUGAAUAGGUGGAAAGUCAAUAGAUGCUUACCAUAUCAGAUGCUUGCAGAGGAUACUGGGGAUAAAGUAGCAGAAAAUUAUGGAAAACAGGGAAGUGACAGCCAGGACUAUGGAGGGGAGGUGACAAUGACAGUGAGAUGGCAUUAGGUUGAAAACCAGAAGGGAAGAGGGCAUUUAAGAGACCGAAAACAACCUGGAGAGGAACAGUAGAAGCCAUUAUGACACUUGUUGGAGAUAGGAUGACCAGGAAUAUGAAUGGAUGUGCUGGAAACUGUACUAAGACCCUUAUGUAUUUGGAUUGAUUUACAUACCAUCAUGAUUUUGCUAUGAAAAACUUGAAAAUAUCCUCAACUCAUAUUGUAGCUGACAUUAUACAUUUGUACUUAUUAAUACUUCAAAUGAACAUAUUUUUAGACAUACAAUAUCUAAACUUUGGAGUCCAUGUACAUCUCCACAUUGGAUAAUAGGUUAUGAUAUAUGUGUGUGAAAUCUUUUCCUAUGGUAUGCACAUGUUAACACAUUAGUUUAAAUGAUGAUGUAUAUCUUAUGACUAUGGAAGAAAAUGUGUUCAGAACAGAAUAUGUGUCUAGAAGAGUUGUUGCCCUUGAAUGUAAUUCAUUAUUUACAUGGGGUUGAAAAAUAAUCCAGCACACAGUAGUACUAAAUGCAUUAUGUUAAAAUACAUUUAUGAAUGGUAUAAGUGAUACUGUCAAUUACUGAUUAAUACACUUUGUGAAAUCAUAUUAUUGUUAUGUUUAAUAAAUUUCAAGGCUGCA